CCUCCGAUAGCUCAGCUGGUAGAUCGGUGGACUGUAGAUCCAUAGGUCGCUGGUUCAAAUCCGGCUCGAAGGA
rnacentral:tRNA from 1 species